UGGGGUGGGGAUGAACAGGCUACAAAACUUAGCAAAGGUCCAUUUAGUGGAGACAAUAUAUAAUCAGAGUUGUCAUCUAUUUUAAAACCCAAAGUUAAAUAAAUCAAAUUUGAGACCACAAGCUGAUGCAAAACAUUUAAAAUACACUGUAUAUCCACUGAAAAUUUCUGAAGCAUAAGCACAAACAGUUCAAGAACUAUCCAAUUGUGACGACUUGUUAGUUUAAAAAAAUCCAAUUACCAAGAUUUUUGUCCCAGAGUAGUUGCAGAAAAUUACACAAUUAGAGCAAUUUUUCUCAGCUGCUCCACUACAGGAAACUCAAAUAACCAUCUCAGUCCAAAGUGCAAGACAGACCGCAGUGAAAAGAGAAAGCAACAGCUAAAAGACGAUGAGUAAAGAAACGAGCAAAAGAUAUUGUUUCUUCCCCUGUUGGUAAGUUGAACCGGGGCAGUCCUAGGCAGCAAGGUUAAUUUAGACAUCAAGCUUCUAGGUCUUAUUUGGGCGUAGUUAUUCAUAGGAUAAAGUGGAGAGCUGCCAAUUCAUUGCUUAUCUCUUAACUCAGGCAAAAGACCUUGCUGGCCAGGAGGUCAAAGCAUCCCGUGAUGGGAACUGAAAAUACUUCCUCAAGCAACAAGGACUGCCCUGACGACAGCAAGACCCCAUGUGAUUGACCCCAAGACAAUGAUCAACCUGACCUAUGCUGCCCACCUGCAGUAUAAGCCUAGAGGUGAUGGUGUGUGUCCAGGGGAUUGUCUCAUUGUCUGCUUCACUUUGUCGGUUCUAAUCUGUCCUCUGCACAUGCGAUGGAGACGUGCCAUGGAGUGGAGGGAGGGAAGAGGCCUCACUUGAAGUUAGUUCCUUCCUUCUUUCAUGGAAGAACAAAGCUCUUUCAUCCUCGAAUCUUCUAUCUGAACAAAAGUUGCGAGAAUUAUUUUAUCCCUAAAAAAUUUCCUUGAAUAAUUUCCACCUACUGCAUGAAACAAUGGUCCCUUUUCACUUCUAAAAGGACUAAAAGACUAAAAAGUACAUUUUUUUUUUUUUUUUUUUUUUUAAUGGGCACCAAAGUAAAGCAUAUGUGCUCUAUUUGGAGAAUGCAGAUGCCUCAAGCUGUGGCAUUUCUUUCUCCAGCUCUCAGCAAGUGGCCAUUUAGGCUUAAUUGCUCCUCACAGCACAGUCCAAUUAAGAACGGGCAUCAGCAGGGUAAGGGCUAUUUGUUAAUCCAUAAAAGGUAUGAGAGACAGUACUUGUUUUGCCUGCGGUUUUUAUUCACAUGUUUGGGUGAAAAUCUAAACAGCUGGAACUCUCAGCAAGUGAUAUGUGUGUGUAUUUAAUCUGUUGGUUAUGGGCAAGAUGAGGGUAUGAACGUAUUUCACAAAACCAAACUUUUCCUUCCCAUACAAAGGAGAACUUUGUCAAGAUAUUGCUGAAGCCUACUAAAGUCUGAGAUUUGAAAGUGUAGUGGGAGUCAGAGCUAACUUAGAGGAGAAACCUCUGAACCAAGGGGGUUUCUCUACAAC